GACAGAGGAGGCAAGCGUUGCUCGGAAUCACUGGGCGUAAAGGGCGCGUAGGCGGGAUGGCAAGUCAGUCGUGAAAUCUCUCGGCUCAACCGAGAAACGUCGGCUGAUACUGCCGUUCUUGAGGGAUGCAGAGGAGACUGGAAUUCCCGGUGUAGCGGUGAAAUGCAUUGAGAUCGGAAAGAACACCAACGGCGAAAGCACUCUGCUGGGCCGACACUGACACUGAGAGACGAAAGCUAGGGGAGCAAAUGGG
rnacentral:rRNA from 1 species